rnacentral:rRNA from 1 species
AUGGGCUACUCAGGCGCUGUGCAAUGGUGGGACGAGUGGCAGCUGCGCAUCCUCGUGCUUGGUAGCCUGGUGAUUCAGUAUGUCCUCCUCGCUGCUUCCGUCGCGCGUAAGUUCCCCAUCAGAUCCUGGUUUAGACCCUUCAUCUGGCUAGCGUACCUGGGCAACGAUGCUGUUGCAAUCUAUGCGCUCGCCACCCUCUUCAACCGCCACAGGAAGCCACAGCAGGAGAAUGGAGAUGGCGGCAGCAGCAUCCUGGAGGUGUUGUGGGCGCCUAUCCUCCUGAUACACCUUGGUGGACAAGAUGGCAUAACCGCCUACAACAUCGAGGACAAUGAGUUGUGGACGCGGCACAUCCUCACCUCGGUGUCUCAGGUCACCGUGGCCAUCUACGUCUUCUGGAAAUCAUGGCCAGGCAACGACACAAGACUCUUGCAGGCGGCAAUAUUGCUUUUCAUCCCCGGCAUCCUCAAAUGCUUCGAGAAGCCCUUGGCUCUCAAUAGAGCUAGCGUUAACAGCCUUGUCAGCUCCAGCGAGCCAAUUCGGAGAUCAAUAAACACACAGAACCUCAAAAUUGAUCCACUUGCAGAUUUCAUUGAGAAAGCAACCAGUCCUGCUGAGGAGAAUAGUUAUCUUUUGACAGCAGCCACGCCGGUGGACUUCACUCCCUAUAAGCUAUUUGUGGACUUUGCAUCUCCUUCUGCUAAUGAUCGGAUCAGGAUGCUGCUGUCCUUCUCAGCACUGAAUGACAACUAUGCUAUUGUAAGCUGCAGCAUUGGCUCUCUGAGACAUUUCAGCUCCUCUACACCAAAGAAAAGAUGUUCUCCAUUGAGUCUGGCUUUGCAGGCCGCUCCAGUAGCAGUGUCCAUGCCCGUGAGAGCAUAUCGGAGCAAAUAG